AUUUUCCUUUGAAACAAAGUAUUUUUUUGUUUCCAUGCAGUCUUAGAUGUUAUUCUUAUUCCUUUUCUUAUGUUUUCAAAAUUGUUUUACAAAAAUGUUGUUUUGUGACGAAGGUGAAGUGAAUGUUCAGCUGCCGCUCCCACGGUCAACAUAUUAUUCAGAUUCUUUUUGGAAAACGGUGGCCUGUCCUCCACGACGGCUGCGGAACACGAACCAAACAGGAAAAAACAACCCGUCAGAACCGAACCACCUGUGAACCGGCACAGGGCACCGGAAGGCUUAGAUGGGACGAUCCGGCGUUGGAAACUUCCACAGCUUUGAGGGAAGAAUCGAUAGUGGAUGCCUAGGGCAGCCAAUUGGAAUGUACUAACUGUUCCGGUGUUCCGGCUAAACGGUUGCAAUCUUCCGAUCCAGUCAAAGGAGACUCAAAGUUUGGCGUCGAAACCAUUCAUCAGUUGUUCCAAUGGAACUGUCCGUCAACGAACUUCUUUUGAUAUUUUAACAAUAUGGCUGAAAGAUCUUAAAGUGUUGUCCUGAGAGGCGAAAUUUGGACAAUGAAGCCUAAUUUUCAAACAGUGAUAUUAGGUAAUUGAAAUGUAAAACAUAUAAACAUUCAUAAUUUAAUAAAAUGGAUAAAUUA